GCUAAGACUCAGUGCCAGGCAUCUGCAAGGCAGCUAGGUAAGAACACUGUGGAGCUCUUGCUUUGAUUACCGAUUCUGAAAUUGUAAAUAAUUUCAGAGUUUCUAUGUUCAAUCUGUUUGUCUGCUUUUAUCCUUAAUCCAUUGAAUGGGAAGGGCGGUAGAAGAGGACAUUUUUCUAAGCUGAAAUUAGGCUUUUCACAACGUCCAUUUCAAGCAGAACGAUUAUGACAAGAAGGAAGGCAGUGAACCGGGAAAGGCAGCAUAAGAUCAUUUCAGAAUGAAGAUGCUUUGGGAUCUGACUUCGGACUGUAAGAAUGACAAACUCUGAAUGGGUGCAAAGGUAGCAGAUGACCUUCAAAGGAUGCUACGUGUAUGUGUUUCUAAGCAAAACUUCUUGGAAGAAAAGG
rnacentral:lncRNA from 1 species